GCCUUAGAAGCUAAUAAAUAGCAUCGGUCUUGUAAACCGAAGGGAGGGUUUGUACCCCUAAUGCU
rnacentral:tRNA from 1 species